rnacentral:lncRNA from 1 species
AUAUGUAUGUAUUUACACACGUCCAUACUCCCUAUAUAAAUUCAUGGGUCUAUAUAGGGCUACUACGCUCGCGUCCAACGCUCACGUCACGCCUUAAUGCGGCGCUACACUACGCCAUCAAGGUGGACAGACGGGUGUAUAAAUAUGUGCCAUACCCCUAUUAUUGAAUUAACACUCAUAUAGGCUACUACGCUUACGUNNNNNNNNNNNNNNNNNNNNAUAAAUAUGUGCCCAUACCCCUAUAUGAAUUAAACACUCAUAUAGGGCUAUUACGCUCGCGUCCAACGCUCACGUCACACCAUAAUGCGGCUAUAUGCUACGCCAUUAAGGUGGACAGACACAUAUGGCUAGCUAGCUUUUAUAUACAUACUCUCCUCAAUAUACAUAUUUAUACUCACCGAAAAAUCCCAUUUUUCGGUGACUCUCCAAGAGAAAUAAAAGCGUCAAAAUUAAAUGACGUCAAAACUCCAACAAUUUUAAAUGCUCAACCAAAACCAUAGCAUGCAUAUUAUUUAAAAUAAAAGUCCACUCACAGUAUUAGGCCUAAGCCUUCCAAUGCUCGGCAUACUCCUCGAGCGCUGCCUCCACUAUUCACAAUCUCGAGUCAAUCCCACGUCUGAUGAUAAACAGCAGAAUAAAUCGGUCAAACUAGAUUCCGAAAUAAUCAUUGAUUCGUCUUCUUCUUAAAUUGACUAAGUGUCCUGGGUUGACCAGGAUUUACCGACAUAAAUUAAUAAUCAAUUCCGACUAAACUUCGCAACUAUGACUUAUUCGGAAUGAACCUUAUCCUAGAAUCAAAGUCACCAUCAAUUUCCAUGCCUUAACACAUUAACCAAAAUACUUCCAAAAUUAUUUUAUGAUCCCCUACGAUCAAACAUGCUCACAAACAAAACCAAGAAUUUCCUUCAUUUCCUCUCUACACAACUUCACCCUAAAAUUUACUAAGGGCACCCAAAAAGGGUUUNNNN